CUCAAGACAUGGAAUUCUAGGAGAGGCCCGUGCUCCUCUGAACAGUCUGAAGCUCUCAUAUCCCCUAGAGUUAAGAGAGGAUCUGCAAGUACCCAAGAAAGAUAUGGUUGGUGAGGCACUGCUCUCUCUGAAAUACAUGCCUACAUCUCAGAGGCUGGAGGUGGGGGUGUUGAAGAUCCGCACAGUAUGUCAUCCCAAUAAGACUGAAAGAGCUCUCUAUGCCGAAACCAGCAUUACCUGCAACCACUGCAAACUACGACAUCAGAGGACAAAACAGCAGAAGCGUUGGGAGGUGACUGUGUUCAAUGAGGCCCUGACCUUUGUGUUGCCAGAUCAACAGAUCAGAGAGUGCACCAUUAUAGUGUCUGUUUAUGAAAUUCAGCCUUCUAACAAGUCGUCCAAACAUUUGAUUGGUCACAUCCACAUCAAAAAGGACAAAACCUUUGAAAAUGAGCACUGGACACUGAUGAUGCAAUCACUACGACAGCCAAUCGCUAAGUGGCAUUUCAUCUUCAUCUGAAUACACCUCAAGUUUAUUGAGGCUUCCAGUUCCUGAGGUGUCUGUUUCAGGUGAGGAAUGAGGAAAUGUGCGCUGUCAAGAAAAUAAAAUGUUAAAUUUGGUUGCUCA
ensembl:lncRNA